CCGGCGGAUGUUCAACAAUAUCAAGGCAGAAGGACAUUAAAUCGUUCACCAACUCUACAUCACCAGUGCUGCCGUCCGACAUGUACACCUCGAAGUCCAAAUCUUGAGGCAGCACAGUGAUGUUGUUUUUGACCGCACUCUCGUAGAUUCGAGAACCUACUGUUCCGUGUAUCCUUUAGUAAUGGAAUGGCAGAGAAAAAUAUCAAGCAAGUAAAAAUGUUCAAAAUCAAAAAAUCAAAUAUUUCUUGUUUUAAGUAGGCUUCUAAAGCAGGGAUGUCAACGAUCAUCGAUGAUACGGCCCGUGAGCUGUAUCCUUGCUCCUGGGCUGUAUCAAUAUGGCCUGCAUUUGGCCAUGAUUCACAGCAACUGUCUAUUAUAUACUAGGUAUAUAAUUAAAAAAUAAAAUGUUAUAACAAUUCA